GGCGCAUUCGUCUAGUGGUUAGGACGGUUGGUUCUCAACCAACAAACAGGAGUUCAAUUCUCCUAUGCGCUG
rnacentral:tRNA from 1 species